rnacentral:rRNA from 1 species
UGGGGAAUUUUGGACAAUGGGCGCAAGCCUGAUCCAGCAAUGCCGCGUGCAGGAUGAAGGCCUUCGGGUUGUAAACUGCUUUUGUACGGAACGAAAAGCCUCUCUCUAAUACAGGGGGGUGAUGACGGUACCGUAAGAAUAAGCACCGGCUAACUACGUGCCAGCAGCCGCGGUAAUACGUAGGGUGCAAGCGUUAAUCGGAAUUACUGGGCGUAAAGCGUGCGCAGGCGGUUUUGUAAGACAGUGGUGAAAUCCCCGGGCUCAACCUGGGAACUGCCAUUGUGACUGCAAGGCUGGAGUGCGGCAGAGGGGGGAUGGAAUUCCGCGUGUAGCAGUGAAAUGCGUAGAUAUGCGGAGGAACACCGAUGGCGAAGGCAAUCCCCUGGGCCUGCACUGACGCUCAUGCACGAAAGCGUGGGGAGCAAACAGGAUUAGAUACCCUGGUAGUCCACGCCCUAAAACGAUGUCAACUGGUUGUUGGGGGAUUUUAUUUCUUCAGUAACGAGGCUAACGCGUGAAGUUGACCGCCUGGGGGAGUACGGCCGCAAGGUUAAAAACUCAAAUGAAUUGACGGGGUCUAGCUG